rnacentral:rRNA from 1 species
UACGUAGGGUGCGAGCGUUAAUCGGAAUUACUGGGCGUAAAGCGCGCGUAGGCGGCCCGGUAAGUCCGUUGUAAAAGUCGAAGGCUCAACCUUCGAAAGCCGAUGGAUACUGCCGGGCUAGAGUACGGAAGAGGCGAGUAGAAUUCCUGGUGUAGCGGUGGAAUGCGCAGAUAUCAGGAGGAAUACCCAUAGCGAAGGCAGCUCGGCUGGGACGUUACUGACGCUGAGGCGCGAAAGCGUGGGGAGCGAACAGG